rnacentral:rRNA from 1 species
AUUGAACGCUGGCGGCAUGCCUUACACGUGCAAGUCGAACGGUAACAGGUCUUCGGAUGCUGACGAGUGGCGAACGGGUGAGUAAUACAUCGGAACGUGCCUAGUAGUGGGGGAUAACUACUCGAAAGAGUGGCUAAUACCGCAUGAGAUCUACGGAUGAAAGCAGGGGAUCGCAAGACCUUGUGCUACUAGAGCGGCCGAUGGCAGAUUAGGUAGUUGGUGGGAUAAAAGCUUACCAAGCCGACGAUCUGUAGCUGGUCUGAGAGGACGAUCAGCCACACUGGGACUGAGACACGGCCCAGACUCCUACGGGAGGCAGCAGUGGGGAAUUUUGGACAAUGGGCGAAAGCCUGAUCCAGCAAUGCCGCGUGCAGGAUGAAGGCCUUCGGGUUGUAAACUGCUUUUGUACGGAACGAAAAGCCCCGGGUUAAUACCCUGGGGUCAUGACGGUACCGUAAGAGUAAGCACCGGCUAACUACGUGCCAGCCGCCGCGGUAA